AACGUUUAUAUGAUGAUUGGUUCCCGUAUUGGCCAAAGGCCAAGGGAUCAAAAGGGAAUGCGACGGUCGUACCCAUCAGGGCGACCUAACCGCAGCCGACCCCGCGACUGUAGAGCGGUUAGGACAAUGCCAAUGCCGGAGCAAAUGCCUGCGGCAGUCACUGGGAAACCGGGAAGACGGCAUUGAUCUUGUGACCCGCGAGCCAGGAGACCUGCCAGUCAUAGGGUAAUAGU
rnacentral:ncRNA from 2 species